UACGUAGGGUGCAAGCGUUGUCCGGAAUUAUUGGGCGUAAAGAGCUCGUAGGCGGUCUGUCGCGUCUGCUGUGAAAACUCAGGGCUUAACCCUGAGCUUGCAGUGGGUACGGGCAGACUAGAGUGCGGUAGGGGAGACUGGAAUUCCUGGUGUAGCAGUGAAAUGCGUAGAUAUCAGGAGGAAUACCGAUGGCGAAGGCAGGUCUCUGGGCCGAUACUGACGCUGAGGAGCGAAAGCGUGGGGAGCGAACAGG
rnacentral:rRNA from 1 species